GUCAAAAACAUAGCUUUUACGUUUUAAUAUUUUUAGCCACCAUAUUCAUAAAAUUAAUAUGGUAUCCGGAAAAUAAGUUCUGCCUCUGUAUGGAGGGCUGACUUGUUUAUGUGACAUACAUUUUCUGUUGCCUUAAAAGGGCUCUAUAAAGUAGGGAAAAGUUCAGAGUACCUUCUGUAGUACAGAAAGAAGGUGGAUCUUCUAUCCUGUUGUUCGGAGGUGUGUGUUUAAUCUUUUUUAGCAAGUUUUUUAUGACCAAUUUUUGUCUUCUAAUAAGCACUUGGCAAAUAUAUUAAGGUAGUUUUUGUUCUUUAUGCAGACUCCACUGAUUUUUCAGCACAUGCACCUUCCCUUAAAAAACUGAAAGACUUCUCUACACACACAUUUUAGGGAAAGUAGGGGUUUUGGUUGCUAGUUUCUACACUUAUUUCUAUCAUGGAUUAGCUAAUUGACUUUGGUCAAUUCACCCUUUCUGUGCUUUGGUUUCUCCAUCUGUAAGGUUAAUAAUACUUAGUACUUUUCACAAAGGAUGAGGGUUAAUAAAGUAAAGUUUAUAAAAUGCUCAGAGAUUCUUGGGUGUUUAAAAUGAGCUAUUAUUAUUUAAGAGGAAGAAUACCAGCUUUACAACUGAUCCAGCAAUCAAAUCUCCCAUUGAAUGGAGGAUCUCAUCUAAAAUAAACCAAACCCAAGAAUUCCCCAGGUGUCCAGGUUUCCAGUGUGACGUCUGUGAUGUGAAAGCAAGAGCCGAAUCACACAUCUAUAUUUAACAGCAUGAGGAAUACUCCCAUUUCCUUUGUAACAGUUUUUUGGUAUCUUGACAAAUCUUAUCUGCAAAGGUAUUUUUCCCUUUUUGAUGUCAGAGUGAAAGGAAACCCCCGUCUCCCACAGUGAGGCCUCCCACAAUAUGUAAAAUAAUUAGUACUUGUACCUUUUCCUAUAUGAGAAAAAUUUCCCUUUAUCAUACACAGCUAAUUUAAUAUGCAAGGUGUAGGUGAGUAUAUAUAAACAGGUUCUGAUGUCAAAAAUGCAUGAAUCAAAUAUAAGCUUUCCUAGAAGUGAAAAUGCUGUUUCUCAGUUUGUUCUUGUUGAGUUGUUGCCUAUCACUCUCUGCGGCCAAUGAGAUAGAAGAAUUUAAAGAAAACUUGGAAGCUUUUCUGAAUCUGACAAAAAAACAGGUGGGCCAUUAAGUUUCCCCCUCCAUUUUCUUUUGCUUUUUUGCAUUGUAGCAUAAAGUUGGUGUUCGCGGCUUUCAACUCUGGUUUACAGAUAUGGUUUCUUGUUUAUUACAAUUGAAUGUUCAAGGUAGUGUGUGCUGAACCCUUUUCUGAAGUCUAUGCAGCAAUUGCUUCCCCAAAGGAAGUUCAGAAAUAGAAAUGUAGAUGAAGAUGAUAUGAAGCUAGAGAUAAUGAACAAUGGCAAUGUACAUGUAAAAGUAUCUGUUUACAAUAUUCCUUUUUUUAAAUUUUAGAUCUUUCUUCCAAUACUAAAGAAUUAUGAGUGCAAAUGUGUUCAUGAUUACCUCAGUAAUACUGAGAAACAUCUGGAAAAAUUAACAGAAAAAUUUAACGAUGAGCCAAAGGCGAAGGAACGUCUUCAUAAGAUGCGAUUCAAUAUGAAGCAGCUGAUGCAUAGAUUAGAGAAAGGAGAUAAAGUAAAUCCAUCUAAAAGCUGUGUGAAAACAGAAGCAGGACUGAUGAAGGCAUUGCACUUCUAUAAAAGGUUCUUUGAAAGACUGAAUGAAUUUAAUUGCAUUAAAUCACAAUGAACUGAGAUGAGCAACACAUUCUAGUUGGAUGUAUGUUUUAGGUAACACAUGAUUAAGUAUUAAGAAAAUAUUGCAAAAUUACCAUGGAAAUACAUAAAAACACACACAACGUUAAUGUGAAUAUCUAAAACAUACCAAAUGUUUGUAACUUAAAUGUAUAGUGCAUUUAUUUAUGUAUUUAUUUAUUUAUUUUAUUAUUUUAGAGGGUGCCUUUAUAUUUAUAUAAAGCCAGAGCAUUCAAACUAUGUUACAGACUGAAAGGGGCAACUAAAAUAAUGAAAUCCAUCUUAUUCUUUCCUGAGGUACUAUAGUAUUUAGUAUCUUUUUAAAUGGUCAAAAUUAAAUCCUGUAAAUGAAAAUUAUUUAAAAUUCAUAUUAGAUGGUCGAAUUUAGAGUUCUGUCUGUUGACAUCUUUGAAAACAGAUAAUAAAAACUGGCCUCAACUCAUGAAAGCACUUCAGAAAAUACUUACCUUUAACUCCCAUUGAUGUCAAUGUACUUUCCUGAAUAAGAGCCCAACUGCAUUUCUAUGGCACCCAGUAGGGCUCAUUAUAUUUAUUGUAUCAAUGUCAUAGCACAGUGGUUUUCAACCUUUUUUCAUUUGAGGAUCCCUACAAAAUUUCAAAUUGAGGAGUAGACCCCUUUGGAAAUCUUAGACCCCAGGUUGAAAACCACUGUUACCAUAUAUUUAUGUCAACAAUUGUAUUAUGUCCAACAUAUUUAUUGUAGAAACAGAAUGUAUAUAUUUUAUUUAA